rnacentral:rRNA from 1 species
GACGAACGCUGGCGGCGUGCUUAACACAUGCAAGUCGAACGGAAAGGCCCUGCUUUUGUGGGGUGCUCGAGUGGCGAACGGGUGAGUAACACGUGAGUAAACUGCCCUUGACUUUGGGAUAACUUCAGGAAACUGGGGCUAAUACCGGAUAGGAGCUCCUGCUGCAUGGUGGGGGUUGGAAAGUUUCGGCGGUUGGGGAUGGACUCGAGGCUUAUCAGCUUGUUGGUGGGGUAGUGGCUUACCAAGGCUUUGACGGGUAGCCGGCCUGAGAGGGUGACCGGCCACAUUGGGACUGAGAUACGGCCCAGACUCCUACGGGAGGCAGCAGUGGGGAAUAGUGUGCAAUGGGCGGAAGCCGGAUGCAGCAACGCCGCGUGCGUGAUGACGGCCUUCGGGUUGUAAACCGCUUUCGCCUGUGACGAAGCGUGAGUGACGGUAAUGGGUAAAGAAGCACCGGCUAACUACGUG